ACUCCUACGGGAGGCAGCAGUGGGGGAAUCUUGGACAAUGGGGGCGAACCCUGAUCCAGCCAUGCCGCGUGAGUGAUGAAGGCCUUAGGGUCGUAAAGCUCUUUCGCCUGUGAUGAUAAUGACAGUAGCAGGUAAAGAAACCCCGGCUAACUCCGUGCCAGCAGCCGCGGUAAUACGGAGGGGGUUAGGCGUUGUUCGGAAUUACUGGGGCGUAAAGCGCGCGUAGGCGGAUUAGUCAGUUAGAGGUGAAAUCCCAGGGCUCAACCCUGGAACUGCCUUUAAUACUGCUAGUCUUGAGUUCGAGAGAGGUGAGUGGAAUUCCGAGUGUAGAGGUGAAAUUCGUAGAUAUUCGGAGGAACACCAGUGGCGAAGGCGGCUCACUGGCUCGAUACUGACGCUCAGAUGCGAAAGCGUGGGGAGCAAACAGGAUUAGAUACCCUGGUAGACAUCAC
rnacentral:rRNA from 1 species